rnacentral:lncRNA from 1 species
CAUACGUCAGAUGAAUCACGAGGUGCUCCAUAGAAUCAAAGAAGCUGGGGAGAAUAUCUUCUCCAAUAUGUAUAUGGUCUCUAUACUACUAGUCUCAAGACUGGAGAUGUGAUCGGUGGAUAGUUCGAUAGCAUAAAUAUAUAUAAAUAGAAGGCUAAGCUCGAUCAAAGAACUCUAUAUAGAGUUGGAAAGAAGAUCACGCCAAGCCAAUGGGAGUAAUUGUUGCAUGAAUACAGAGCAGUCAUGGCUCUUUAGCCCAUAAAACCUGCAAUCUUUGACAUUGACG